rnacentral:rRNA from 1 species
GGAAGUAAAAGUCGUAACAAGGUUUCCGUAGGUGAACCUGCGGAAGGAUCAUUCAUAAUCAAGUGUUUUUAUGGCACUUUCAAAAAUCCAUAUCCACCUUGUGUGCAAUGUCAUCUCUCUGGGGGCCGCCGGCUGUCAAAAGCCGUGUGGUCACCUUUGGGAUUUAUAUCUACUCAGAACUUUAGUGAUUUUGUCUGAAACAUAUUAUGAAUACUUAAUUCAAAAUACAACUUUCAACAACGGAUCUCUUGGCUCUCGCAUCGAUGAAGAACGCAGCGAAAUGCGAUACGUAAUGUGAAUUGCAGAAUUCAGUGAAUCAUCGAAUCUUUGAACGCAUAUUGCGCUCUCUGGUAUUCCGGAGAGCAUGCUUGUUUGAGUAUCAGUAAACACCUCAACUCCUCUCUUCCCUUUUGAAAAUGGGAGUUGGACUUGAGUAAUCCCAACGCUUUUCUCACCGAACAGUGGCGGGUUACUUGAAAUGCAGGUGCAGCUGGACUAUUUCUCUGAGCUAAAAGCAUAUCUAUUUAGUCUGCCUAAAAAACAGAUUAUUACCUUUGCUGCAGCUAACAUAAAGGAGAUUAGUUCUUGUGCUGACUGAUGCAGGAUUCACAAAGACGGCUUCGGCCGACUUUGUAAACUCGAUCUCAAAUCAAGUAAGACUACCCGCUGAACUUAAGCAUAUCAAUAAGCGGAGGA